ACAUAUUCGACAUUAUGUUAUCAAAGUGUGUCCGCCACGCAGGGCUAAAGUUACCUCACCCAAGACAAAGGAAUGUGGUUUCUGGAAGAUAUUUUGAAGUUGGUGACUGAACAUCCAAGAGGAGUCAGAAAAACAGACUGUAGUUUUGGUUUGGAAGGAGGAAGGCAGAUUUCAGGGAGAAGGGGAGGAAAACAAGGACAGAGCCUUCUGGUACCCCCACUGAACGAAAGGGAGGAAAGGAGAAUCCAUUGAAUGAAAGGGAUGAAGGAGCAAUCCCACAGCCAGAGAAUGAGGAGAGGGGUGCUAAAAUGUUGGGACCAGUCACCAUAGAACACUGCAGUAUUUAAUAGUUGUAGCUGUCCUAGUUUAGAUCUGCAAGUUAGAGGGUGGGGCUUCCUUGUUUGAAAGAGAAUUCUGUGUGUGGAACUACAUUGCAACUCAAGUCUCUGAACCAUUACUGGAAAGUGGCAUGACGCUUAUUGCAGCUCAGUAAUUCCAGAUUCAAUAUGUUCUUUACAAGUACAAAUGUCUUUUUCUAACUGCCAGCCCUGCACAUUCAACCUGAGAUUGGAAUCUAGUUGGCUUUCAUUUCCCAUGCAAUCACUUGAAAUAAAAAUUCCACACGCUAAAUGAUAUCCUCAGUUAUGCCAAUACAACCUUAGAACAUUCAAUUUAUGCCCCCCAUGACAGCUCUGUAACUGCAUUGCCUUUGACAAAACAGUCCAGCUCACGCUCUCCUACUGGUGUUGGCUUUAUAGCCCCCAAAAUCAGUAAAAUAACUUUCAUAACUACAGUGGUGAACAUUACAGACAGGAAGCAGCUCUGAAUAAGAAUUUUCACGUGGUCAAUCCUCAAUCCUCGGAAUAGAAUCAGACCCUCAAAAUACCUGUCCUAAAGGAAAAGACCUCUUGGGUGAGGGGGAAAGGAAGGAGGCUUGGAAUAAUGUACUGGGAGAGUGGAGGCAGGGUGGCCUAGUGGAC